rnacentral:rRNA from 1 species
GUGGGGAAUUUUGGACAAUGGGGGCAACCCUGAUCCAGCCAUCCCGCGUGUGCGAUGAAGGCCUUCGGGUUGUAAAGCACUUUUGGCAGGGAAGAAAUAGCCUGGGUUAAUACCCUGGGUGAAUGACGGUACCUGCAGAAUAAGCACCGGCUAACUACGUGCCAGCAGCCGCGGUAAUACGUAGGGUGCAAGCGUUAAUCGGAAUUACUGGGCGUAAAGCGUGCGCAGGCGGUUCGGAAAGAAAGAUGUGAAAUCCCAGGGCUCAACCUUGGAACUGCAUUUUUAACUACCGGGCUAGAGUAUGUCAGAGGGGGGUGGAAUUCCGCGUGUAGCAGUGAAAUGCGUAGAGAUGCGGAGGAACACCGAUGGCGAAGGCAGCCCCCUGGGAUAAUACUGACGCUCAUGCACGAAAGCGUGGGGAGCAAACAGGAUUAGAAACCCCUGUAGUCC